AUAUCUAGGGUUGUUGGUAGUAAAAGUUGUUAU
rnacentral:sRNA from 1 species